rnacentral:rRNA from 1 species
ACUCCUGACUGACCGAUAGUGAACCAGUACCGUGAGGGAAAGGCGAAAAGAACCCCGGCGAGGGGAGUGAAAAAGAACCUGAAACCGUGUACGUACAAGCAGUGGGAGCACAGAGCAAUCUGUGUGACUGCGUACCUUUUGUAUAAUGGGUCAGCGACUUAUAUUCUGUAGCAAGGUUAACCGAAUAGGGGAGCCGAAGGGAAACCGAGUCUUAACUGGGCGUUAAGUUGCAGGGUAUAGACCCGAAACCCGGUGAUCUAGCCAUGGGCAGGUUGAAGGUUGGGUAACACUAACUGGAGGACCGAACCGACUAAUGUUGAAAAAUUAGCGGAUGACUUGUGGCUGGGGGUGAAAGGCCAAUCAAACCGGGAGAUAGCUGGUUCUCCCCGAAAGCUAUUUAGGUAGCGCCUCGUGAAUUCAUCUCCGGGGGUAGAGCACUGUUUCGGCAAGGGGGUCAUCCCGACUUACCAACCCGAUGCAAACUGCGAAUACCGGAGAAUGUUAUCACGGGAGACACACGGCGGGUGCUAACGUCCGUCGUGAAGAGGGAAACAACCCAGACCGCCAGCUAAGGUCCCAAAGUCAUGGUUAAGUGGGAAACGAUGUGGGAAGGCCCAGACAGCCAGGAUGUUGGCUUAGAAGCAGCCAUCAUUUAAAGAAAGCGUAAUAGCUCACUGGUCGAGUCGGCCUGCGCGGAAGAUGUAACGGGGCUAAACCAUGCACCGAAGCUGCGGCAGCGACGCUUAUGCGUUGUUGGGUAGGGGAGCGUUCUGUAAGCCUGCGAAGGUGUGCUGUGAGGCAUGCUGGAGGUAUCAGAAGUGCGAAUGCUGACAUAAGUAACGAUAAAGCGGGUGAAAAGCCCGCUCGCCGGAAGACCAAGGGUUCCUGUCCAACGUUAAUCGGGGCAGGGUGAGUCGACCCCUAAGGCGAGGCCGAAAGGCGUAGUCGAUGGGAAACAGGUUAAUAUUCCUGUACUUGGUGUUACUGCGAAGGGGGGACGGAGAAGGCUAUGUUGGCCGGGCGACGGUUGUCCCGGUUUAAGCGUGUAGGCUGGUUUUCCAGGCAAAUCCGGAAAAUCAAGGCUGAGGCGUGAUGACGAGGCACUACGGUGCUGAAGCAACAAAUGCCCUGCUUCCAGGAAAAGCCUCUAAGCAUCAGGUAACAUCAAAUCGUACCCCAAACCGACACAGGUGGUCAGGUAGAGAAUACCAAGGCGCUUGAGAGAACUCGGGUGAAGGAACUAGGCAAAAUGGUGCCGUAACUUCGGGAGAAGGCACGCUGAUAUGUAGGUGAAGUCCCUCGCGGAUGGAGCUGAAAUCAGUCGAAGAUACCAGCUGGCUGCAACUGUUUAUUAAAAACACAGCACUGUGCAAACACGAAAGUGGACGUAUACGGUGUGACGCCUGCCCGGUGCCGGAAGGUUAAUUGAUGGGGUCAGCGCAAGCGAAGCUCUUGAUCGAAGCCCCGGUAAACGGCGGCCGUAACUAUAACGGUCCUAAGGUAGCGAAAUUCCUUGUCGGGUAAGUUCCGACCUGCACGAAUGGCGUAAUGAUGGCCAGGCUGUCUCCACCCGAGACUCAGUGAAAUUGAACUCGCUGUGAAGAUGCAGUGUACCCGCGGCAAGACGGAAAGACCCCGUGAACCUUUACUAUAGCUUGACACUGAACAUUGAGCCUUGAUGUGUAGGAUAGGUGGGAGGCUUUGAAGUGUGGACGCCAGUCUGCAUGGAGCCGACCUUGAAAUACCACCCUUUAAUGUUUGAUGUUCUAACGUUGACCCGUGAUCCGGGUUGCGGACAGUGUCUGGUGGGUAGUUUGACUGGGGCGGUCUCCUCCUAAAGAGUAACGGAGGAGCACGAAGGUUGGCUAAUCCUGGUCGGACAUCAGGAGGUUAGUGCAAUGGCAUAAGCCAGCUUGACUGCGAGCGUGACGGCGCGAGCAGGUGCGAAAGCAGGUCAUAGUGAUCCGGUGGUUCUGAAUGGAAGGGCCAUCGCUCAACGGAUAAAAGGUACUCCGGGGAUAACAGGCUGAUACCGCCCAAGAGUUCAUAUCGACGGCGGUGUUUGGCACCUCGAUGUCGGCUCAUCACAUCCUGGGGCUGAAGUAGGUCCCAAGGGUAUGGCUGUUCGCCAUUUAAAGUGGUACGCGAGCUGGGUUUAGAACGUCGUGAGACAGUUCGGUCCCUAUCUGCCGUGGGCGCUGGAGAACUGAGGGGGGCUGCUCCUAGUACGAGAGGACCGGAGUGGACGCAUCACUGGUGUUCGGGUUGUCAUGCCAAUGGCACUGCCCGGUAGCUAAAUGCGGAAGAGAUAAGUGCUGAAAGCAUCUAAGCACGAAACUUGCCCCGAGAUGAGUUCUCCCUGACUCCUUGAGAGUCCUGAAGGAACGUUGAAGACGACGACGUUGAUAGGCCGGGUGUGUAAGCGCAGCGAUGCGUUGAGCUAACCGGUACUAAUGAACCGUGAGGCUUAACCUU